AUUGAACGCUAGCGGCAGGCCUAACACAUGCAAGUCGAGCGGUAAAGAGAAGCUUGCUUCUCUUGAGAGCGGCGGACGGGUGAGUAAAGCCUAGGAAUCUGCCUGGUAGUGGGGGAUAACGUUCGGAAACGGACGCUAAUACCGCAUACGUCCUACGGGAGAAAGCAGGGGAUCUUCGGGCCUUGCGCUAUCAGAUGAGCCUAGGUCGGAUUAGCUAGUUGGUGAGGUAAUGGCUCACCAAGGCGACGAUCCGUAACUGGUCUGAGAGGAUGAUCAGUCACACUGGAACUGAGACACGGUCUAGACUCUUACGGGAGGCAGCAGUGGGGAAUAUUGGACAAUGGGCGAAAGCCUGAUCCAGCCAUGCCGCGUGUGUGAAGAAGGUCUUCGGAUUGUAAAGCACUUUAAGUUGGGAGGAAGGGCAUUAACCUAAUACGUUAGUGUUUUGACGUUACCGACAGAAUAAGCACCGGCUAACUCUGUGCCAGCCGCCGCAGUAA
rnacentral:rRNA from 1 species